rnacentral:rRNA from 1 species
GACAGAGGGUGCAACCGUUGUUCGGAAUUACUGGGCGUAAAGCGCGUGUAGGCUGCUCGGAAAGUCGGAUGUGAAAGCCCUGGGCUCAACCUAGGAAGUGCAUUCGAAACUCCCGAGCUGGAGUCCUGGAGAGGAAGGCGGAAUUCUCGGUGUAGAGGUGAAAUUCGUAGAUAUUCGGAAGAACACCAGUGGCGAAGGCGGCUUCCUGGCCUGUUCUUGACGCUGAGGCGCGAAAGCUAGGGGAGCAAACGGG